rnacentral:lncRNA from 13 species
AUGUGGGAUGGUGCUGUGCUGACAGCUGGUGAUCCCUGCCCUACAUCUUUGAAGAGGAGCCAGAGUGGGCCACGGUCAACUUAUGUGUUGAAGACCUCCUUCUAUGUGUGUAUGUGCUUAUUACAGAUAUGCCACGGUGCUAAGUACCGUAGGACUAUGGGAAAAUUUAGAAUACGUGCCGUAUCCAUGAUGAGGAGGCACACAGGCCAGAGUGCCAGCUGUGGAAUCCCACAGCCUGGGUUCAAAGCCUGGCUGGGUCAUGAUCACCCGAAUGACCUGAAGGAAGUUCUCAGGCAAAUUUGUAAAAGAAAGUUCCCUGCCCGCCAGGAAGGGAAGUGGUAAGGGGCGGCAGCCAGUCAAGCCAGGGCAUGCAUCCUCUCCUGAAAUCUGCCCAGCGAGGCCAGGACCACAACGGAAAAGGCGGGCCUGGCUCUAAGCGGCACAGAGGCACUGAGGAGGCCCUAGGGGAGCCUGGCAGGAUCUGGCUAGUCCUGCACUCUGCUUCCAGCAGGGUCUGGCCCUGUAAUCCAGGGAACAAGGCCAGCCAAGACAUGGCCACUGGGUGCCAGUCAGCGCCUGGGCCAGGCACCAGGUGGAAAGGGCUCUGGCAGAUCAGCCCCACAUGCCCCACAGCCCCACAGCGCGGCCCAUCCAGGGCCACACACCUGCCCCCAGGAGCAGGAGGGUUCAGCUGGACAGAUGGGGAGCCCCGCUUUUUGCCCUUUGACUCCACUUGUAGGUGCCCUCACUGGGGUCCUGUGCACUGCCCCACACCCUGCUCUGUCACCAGCCCCAUUGUGAUGUCAUAAGAGCCCAGCUGCCCACCCACAGACUAGUGGGUGAUUCAGGAGUACCCUCUCCAUUUCUUACUGUGAUUUUUGUCCGAGCGCAACUUGUAUGCUAUGGGAAGUUCCCUAAGCAAAUUGUGUUCCUUUAUCUGCCGCAGGAUCUGGCAGCGGUGGCAACCACGAUGGUCUCCACUUGUCCAUGUGGACUUUUCAGCUGGCCGGCUUCACCCCACAGCUCCUGCGCAUGUGCUUGCCCGACGAGCCCUACAGGGUUCCCGAGUUCUCUUGUGCCCUCCGCGAGGUCUUGGGCCUUAUUUUCCAUCGAGCUCGAAUUUCACCCUGAACUCGAGCGCCCUACUGCGGGACCUGCCUCCUCUUGCCUGGAGGCCCCCCUCAAGGAAGAAACCCGUGCUACGCCACUUCGCACGCGAGGGACCCGUGAAGAUCCCUCCUCUAAGCCUAACGUUUCCACUCUGACUGCCUCCGCUACAAGUGCCGGCCGGAUCCUGAAGACGGCGGUGAGAGCAGAAGAGCCUGAAGAACAGAUGGAGGUGGACGAUCAGGGUCUUGGAGUGCUCAGCGCACACAGCCAGCCCUGCAGGAGGCAUUCUUCCCUUUGGGAAGCCUGACCCAGCUCCAGCAGUGCUCCCUGGCCCAGUUCCCGGCUGCUCCCAUUGGCCAGACAAGGUGGCUUCUGUGGUACUGGGGAAAGACCACCAGCCCAGCUCGUGGGAGAGGACCCAGUGCAAGGAUCCUCCAGCUGUUGUGACAAGGAGCUCUUCUACCCCAAGAGCCACCAGCCACAGUUCCCGACAACCAAAAUUGUCAGCGCAACCCCAGCAGCUGCCACUGGUCCCUCCCCAGCAAUGGAGGUGGGAGAGAGAUCAGGGGCCCCCACCCGCUAAACGUGCCCGCCAAUCCCUGAAAAAAUUCACGGACAACACCGGCAGGUCAGGUAGAAUAACAUCAUCCAGGAGACUGAAAAAGAGAUGUGGCAAGAUCAAGCAGUUACGGUAAACUGCAGUGCCAGCCAGCCUGCCCCGAUGUCUCCCCAUCCCACGCCUGCCCCGAUGUCUCCCCACCUGCUCUCCCUGCCCCAGGCCACCUACGUGUCACAGAUCCCAGCUCCUCCUCCU